UACGUAGGGGGCAAGCGUUGUCCGGAAUCAUUGGGCGUAAAGCGCGUGUAGGCGGCCCGGUAAGUCCGCUGUGAAAGUCCAGGGCUCAACCCUGGGAUGCCGGUGGAUACUGUCGGGCUCGAGUCCGGAAGAGGAGUGUGGAAUUCCUGGUGUAGCGGUGAAAUGCGCAGAUAUCAGGAGGAACACCGAUGGCGAAGGCAGGUCUCUGGGCCGAUACUGACGCUGAGGAGCGAAAGCGUGGGGAGCGAACAGG
rnacentral:rRNA from 1 species